rnacentral:lncRNA from 1 species
AGCAAGCCCAGACACUGCAACAAGCUCACAGCUCCAUGAAGAUCCAGCCAGGGCCAGCCCCUUAGAGGUGAGAUAAUUAGGGCCCCAGUAGCAGUCUCUGAGAGGGCCAAGUGAGGGCUUUCUGGGGCUGGCUGACCCUCUUGACUCAAACGUGUUGCUGCUGCUUCUGGGUUAAUGGGCCUGGUGGGUGCUUUCUCACUGGUCACUGAGCAGGGCUGUCUGAUGUCUUCAGGGGCUAAGACUGGAGCAUUCUUUCUCCACCCCCUUUAGCUGUGAGCAUCUCAGGAGCUAGGGCUGAAAAUGGAAACAGGCCUGUGGGUCACUGUGGCCCAACCUCUCAGAACAGCAGGAGCCUGUGCACUCCACCUCGCCCCCGUUCUGCCCUACACUGUAGGGCACUAGUUCCUGCCUGAAAGGACUGGAAGAGCCUAUGGCUCCUAUGCGCCACUAGCUCUAGCUGAGUGCCCAGCAGAGGUAGAAAAUAUGAUUUUCCUUCUCUUUCUUUCAGAGCAAUCACUCACUAGACACAUGAGGAAGACUAAGGGGCUGGAGGUGGGGUAUGCAAAGAGAGGUACAGGGCCAGGCUUACUACAGUGUCUCCAAAAAGGCCAAAGAUAGUGCAUAAACAAAAUGGAGCUGGAAGACAGAGUAAUCAAUACUUGCAGAAGCAGGGUCCUGGGAGAAUGCUUGAUGGGAAAAGUGGCACAUGUAACAUACUGUCCACACCAGCCCUGCACAAACCCUUGGCUCUGUACAGACCAGCCUCUUUGCUGUGCCCCAGACACCAGUUGGGCAGCUCCACUGCACUAUCCACCCAGACCUCUCACAGGUUCAAGUCUCACUUGUCCUUGAAGGUCCUGCUCUGUCUCUUCAUCCUGGGAUAGACUUCAAGUGCCUUGUGUGGCCACAGUGACUUGCAUUUGGCAACCUCUUCCUGCCUGUACUCCUUGUCUAUACCACCUAAAUACAGAUGGCUGCUUAGGUGCUUUCUGUUUGUUAGUCUUGUUCCUCCAUCCAAGCUGCAAGCUCUUUAGCAAGAACAUCAUAUUCAUGCCUCCCACCCUACCCACCCCAGCACAGAAUUCUGCAUAUGGUAGGUGCACAUGCUAUAUGGAGGAUGAAUGAGCAGAUAAAUGAAUAAAUAAGGAAAGAAAGCAGAGAAGAA